UUUUUUUAAGUUUAUAAACAAAAAGGUCAAUCAGAGUUGAUUUUUUUUUUGUUUAUUCUAAAGUAAAUUCAGAAAAAAAUUGGCUUUUUCAGUGACAAACUUAAAAAAAAGUUUGGCUUUUAAGCAUUACCAAACAGAGCCUUAACUUUAUAGUUUCCUAAAUUAUCCUUAAAAAUGGCAUAAAAUGUUUUUGAAAGUAGAUGCAACAUGGUAAAUUAUUACCUUUUUAAUUUGAUUCUCAGUAUACCAAAUAUAUGUUCUCUUACAAAUUUAGAAUCCUCAAAAUGGCCGAACAGAACAAAGAGAAUACAACUCCUAUUUAGACUUAUUUAUUUUCAGGUUUAUCAUGCUUCAUGUUGUAUCUAUUUUUAAUUAUGUCAUACCUAUUUAAUAAAAACUUGUGCCACCGCUCCAGACUACCGUGUUAUCUAAGCCGUUUAUGUACCAACGCCAUUGACUUUCAUACGGCUAUAAUUUGAGUUUAGAAUUGUUUUCUGGCUAUGUUUAACUUAGAUGAUAGAUUUAUUUAGAUUUUUAAUAUAACAGCUUUGAAUUUUGAGUUUUUUUAUUUUUAGUGAAUAUUUUUUAUGGUUCAAUCAAAAUGUAAAAAGUUUCACCAAAUUUGAAAAUAUAACAUUUUGAUCAAAUAGUAAAAUAAUUACUAAAAAUAAAAAUGCUCAAAAAUCAAAACAGCUAUAUAAGCAAAAAUAUUUAUGUCUAAACUAGUGAUUUUUACUCUAUCAUUUUCUCUAAUUGUAGUCCUUUUUUAUCUAUAUUAAAGUAAAAAAUUGCUGGAAUACACAUUACAUACCAUUUGUACCCAUAAUGUAGCUGAGAUUGAGUCACAUCAUCAUUUUUUACCAAUUAAAUUGGUCGUUUUGUAGGCUAACUAGAUUAAAAUAUAAUAUAGCCACCAAUUCUCAUGAAAUUAAUUGAUUCAUAACAUAGAUAUAAAUUUUAUAAAAAUGUUUUAUGAUUAUAUACAUAAAAAUUCAUAAAACAAGUUAUAAAGAUUCAUAAAAUUUACCAAACGUACCAAUAGAAUUUAUAACAAUCUCAUAACAAUGAGUGCAAAAAAUUAUAACAAAACCAAUACAAUUCAUAAUUAAAUAAUAAAAUUCAUAAAAGCAAAUAGAUUCCACUUUAAUUGGUGGGCUCUACAAUAAUUAAUGAUUUGAAGUGAUUAAUUCAUUGGUUGAAGUCACACUAAUUCAUAACAAUAACCAUAAACGUUCAUAAUCAAACCAAUAAAAUUCAUAAAAGUAACUUGAUCCUACUUAAUUGGUGGGUUACACGACAAUUAAUGAUUUGAAGUGACUAAUUCAUUACUUAAAAUCACACUAAUUCAUAACAAUAACCAUAACCGUUCACCAUCAAACCAAAAUAAUUUAUAAUCAAAUUAAUAAAAUUUAUAAAAGCAAAGUUUAACUGGUGGGCUCCACGGAAAUUAAUGUUUUAAAGUGAUUAAUUUAUUAAUUCAUUAUUUGAAGACACAUUAAUUCAUAACAAUUGCCAUAAUCAAUCAUAACUAAAUCAAAUUAAUUCAUAAUCAAACUAAUAAAAUUCAUAAAAAUAAUUUUAAUUGGUGGGCUCCAUGAUAAUCAAUGUUUUGAAGUGACUAAUUUAUUGUUUGAAGUCACACUAAUUCAUAAAAGUAAUCAAAAUAAAAUAAUUCAUAAUCAAACCAAUAAAUUCAUAAAAACAAAUUAACACUAAUUCAUAAUAAAAGCCAUAAUCAUUUAUAACGAAACUAAAAUAAUUCAUAACUAAACCAUAAUAAAUCAUAAAUUAUUUAUGAUUAUAUCUAUAAGAAUUCAUAAAAUAACAAUAAAGAUUCAUAAAACUUAGUAAACAUAUUAAUAUAAUUCAUAACAGAAUAUCUCAUAACAAUAGCAAUAAAAAUUCAUAAAAAAUCAAUACAAAUCAAAACCAAAUCAAUACGAUUUAAAAAAGAAAGUUUAAUCGGUUGUUGAAGUUGCCAUUAUUAGUUAUUAAUUUAUUUAAAAACUUAGAUUAAUUUUUUUUAUUUAAUGACUAUUAAAUGUAAUACUAAAGAUACAACCCAAAUAGAGGAGUGUACUGGAGCAUUUUUCUAAAAUGAAUUCACUUAAAUAUCCUACAAUGUAAUAAAAAUAUUUGAGUAAAAGUGAAUAUUUGAAUAAAUUCAUACUAAUAAAGAUAAAAAAAAUAGUGCAAUUAGGUUGUUAUUGGAUAAAGAAUUUUGUAAGAGAAAAAGAAAUAAAAAUAAAAAUAAAAUAGGUAAAUGAUCCAAUUGUAUCAAGCAGAUAAAUUAUUUUACAUUUUUAUUUUAAUUUCUUUUCUUUCAUCCAAUAUGGAAUCUAAAUGCAGUCUUAGAGAAGAAGAAGUGCCAAAAUCAUAUAUCUUAUAUGCUGCAAUUACAUAUGCGAUGUGAAGUUGAUCGUUAUUGUAGAUGGACGAAUAUGAUCACCGUAAACAUAAUUUUAAAUAUUAAUGUCGUCAUUAGUGAAAUAGUAAAAAA
rnacentral:lncRNA from 1 species